rnacentral:tRNA from 1 species
UCCCUGUUUGUCCUGUGGUUAGGACUCUGCACUUCUAAUGCAGGGGCCAAGGUUCGAUCCCUAGCUGGAGAA